rnacentral:rRNA from 1 species
UACGAGGGGGGCAAGCGUUGUUCGGAAUUAUUGGGCGUAAAGGGCGCGUAGGCUGCGGGGUAAGUCGGGUGUGAAAUCUCAGGGCUCAACCCUGAAACUGCACUCGAUACUGCUCUGCUUGAGGACUGGAGAGGAGACUGGAAUUCACGGUGUAGCAGUGAAAUGCGUAGAUAUCGUGAGGAAGACCAGUGGCGAAGGCGGGUCUCUGGACAGUUCCUGACGCUGAGGCGCGAAGGCCAGGGGAGCAAACGGG